rnacentral:rRNA from 1 species
AAAUUGAAGAGUUUGAUCAUGGCUCAGAUUGAACGCUGGCGGUAGGCCUAACACAUGCAAGUCGAACGGUAACAGGAAGAAGCUUGCUUCUUUGCUGACGAGUGGCGGACGGGUGAGUAAUGUCUGGGAAACUGCCUGAUGGAGGGGGAUAACUACUGGAAACGGUAGCUAAUACCGCAUAACGUCGCAAGACCAAAGAGGGGGACCUUCGGGCCUCUUGCCAUCGGAUGUGCCCAGAUGGGAUUAGCUAGUAGGUGGGGUAACGGCUCACCUAGGCGACGAUCCCUAGCUGGUCUGAGAGGAUGACCAGCCACACUGGAACUGAGACACGGUCCAGACUCCUACGGGAGGCAGCAGUGGGGAAUAUUGCACAAUGGGCGCAAGCCUGAUGCAGCCAUGCCGCGUGUAUGAAGAAGGCCUUCGGGUUGUAAAGUACUUUCAGCGGGGAGGAAGGGAGUAAAGUUAAUACCUUU